UACGGAGGGGGCUAGCGUUGUUCGGAAUUACUGGGCGUAAAGCGCACGUAGGCGGCUUUGUAAGUUAGAGGUGAAAGCCCGGAGCUCAACUCCGGAAUUGCCUUUAAGACUGCAUCGCUAGAAUUGUGGAGAGGUGAGUGGAAUUCCGAGUGUAGAGGUGAAAUUCGUAGAUAUUCGGAGGAACACCAGUGGCGAAGGCGGCUCACUGGUCCAUUACUGACGCUGAGGUGCGAAAGCGUGGGGAGCAAACAGG
rnacentral:rRNA from 1 species